AUAGAUCUUAAUAUAUGAAAUAAUUAAUUGAGUUAAAAUUUAAUUUUUGGUUAUUAUUAAAUUUAUUUGAUUGGGGUGAUUAAAAAAUAAUUAAAACUUUUUUUUAAAUUUGAUAUUAUAAGUAAUUAUAUGAUCCAUCAAUUGAUGAUUAAAAGAUUAAAUUACCUUAGGGAUAACAGCAUAAUUUUUUUUAAGAGUUCAUAUCGAAAGAAAAGAUUAUGACCUCGAUGUUGGAUUAAGAAUAGUUUUAGGGUGUAGAAGUUCAAUAACUAGGUCUGUUCGACCUUAUAAUUCUUACA
rnacentral:rRNA from 1 species